rnacentral:rRNA from 1 species
AUUGAACGCUGGCGGCAGGCCUAACACAUGCAAGUCGAACGAGUGGCGGACGGGUGAGUAAUGUAUGGGAAACUGCCCGAUGGAGGGGGAUAACUACUGGAAACGGUAGCUAAUACCGCAUACCAUCGGAUGUGCCCAGAUGGGAUGGGCUAGUAGGGGGGGUAACGGCGCACCUAGGCGACGAUCCCUAGCUGGUCUGAGCGGAUGACAAGCCACACUGGCACUGAGACACGGUCCAGACUCCUACGGGAGGCAGCAGUGGUGAUUAUUGCACAAUGGGCGCAAGCCUGAUGCAGCCAUGCCGCGUGUAUGAAGAAGGCCUUAGGGUUGUAAAGUACUGUCAGCGAGGAGGCGUUACGCGCAGAAGAAGCACCGGCUAACGCCGUGCCAGCAGCCGCGGUAAUAC